UUUAUAGGUGAUUGAGUCCAUUGAUAUUAAGGGAUAUUAAUUACCAGUGAUUGUUAAUUCCUGUUAUCUUUUCGUGGUAGUGUGUGUGUACUUCUCUCUUUG